UACGUAGGCAGCAAGCGUUGUUCGGAAUCACUGGGCGUAAAGGGCGUGUAGGCGGUUUGGUAAGUGAGAUGUGAAAUGCUCCGGCUCACCCGGGGACCUGCAUCUCAAACUGCCGGACUAGAGUAUGGGAGAGGAUGAGGGAAUUCCUGGUGUAGCGGUGAAAUGCGUAGAUAUCAGGAGGAACGCCGGUGGCGAAAGCGGCGCGCUGGGCCUGUCCUGACGCUGAGAUGCGAAAGCCAGGGGAGCAAAC
rnacentral:rRNA from 1 species